CCUCAGAGCCCCUUGUGCACUGCCCAGCUUGCCUCUGCAGGCUUCCUGUGACAGGCACAGGCCUCACUGGGAGGGAAUUUGUAACUUAACCAGCUGUGCCCGGCAAGGUCAGGAAGCCCUGGGUUUCAGACCUGAUUGGCCAGCAGCCACCAAGUCAAUUGCACCUUCUCUGACCUUCUCCACAGGGGCAAAAGCACCACCUGCCAGCCUGCCCACAUCCCUCAGGUGCCUGUACGCUCUGCUGCCCAGAGAAGCUUGGGAGCUGCCUGCUCCUCUCCCGGUGCAGCCCCGCCCAGUUUGAGACCCAGGACUCCAAUUCAGACGCUUUCCUGCCCCCCAGGAGGGCUCCUUCCUUCCAGCAUCCUAAGCCUCUUUCUGUCCUGACAGCCCAGACCUGACCUCCCGCCUGGUCGUCACCCAGGAUUACUCCCCACCGCGUCUUAGGGUGCUGCCCCGCCGGGAUCCGCUUGGCUUGGAUCUGCUGUGUGUCUGUUCUGUACGAGGUCAGAUGUAACGGAGGACUUCCACAGAGCAAGGGCUUCUCAAGGAGAGACCUAAGCAGCAGUAACUUCCUUUCCUCUUUGGGAAAAGCUUUAUGGAGCACUUUGCACAUGUCAACGCAUGACACACCAGCCUCACUCCCCCUCGACACGUGUAUCAGCCUGAGUGCAUCCCGGCCCAUAUCUGCUGCGUUGCCUCCCCAUGGAAAGGUGACUGCCUGCUGCUAGGCCGAGCCUCAGCCCCGGCGCAUUCCAUCUCUUCUUGCCUCCUCCCCAGGGCCACCGAGGUUUCCCUCUCCAUCAGACUACCCCUAGGAGCAGACGGACGUGCUACAGCAUUCCAUCUUUAAAAAAAUCCUCCCUUGGUUCCACAUGUGUCUCCAGUUGCCACCCUAUGUCAUCACUUCCCAUUAAAACCAAACUAAAAAAAAAAAAAAUAGGAGAGGCUUGUGUACGUUCUCUUUCUCCAGUCCUUAUCCACCAAACUCCCCCAUGCCCACUCCUCACUACCAGGAGCUCAGUCGUGCCAAGGUCCCAGUGGCUUCCACCUUUCCAGUCACUGUGGCGAUUCUCUGCUCUCAUCUCCAACCUCUCAGUAAGAAUGGACACGGGGACACCCUCCCCUCCUUUAAGCCCCUUUUCCUCUUGCUUUCAUGGGAACAUUCAAUCUCCUCCCCUUCUUAGUCUCCUUUGCCGGCUCCUCCUCUUCCGGCAAUGCCUACCUGUCAGCUAACGGAGGCUGUGCUCCUGGGCCCUCUGCUCUCUCCACACUCACCGCAUAGUGAUCUCUUCCAGGCUCAUGGGUUUCCAAACCAUCGAUGUACUGAUGCUCCCUAAUCCAAUCUCCAGCCCUACCUCCCCAUGAGCCCCCGACCUGUACCUGCCCUGUCAACCCGACCCAUCCUCCUGGCGGCCUACCAAGUGGAAUGAGCCCAUCUGUUCAGACCAGAAUUCUCGAUCCCCUCCAAUCCACGGCUCCUCAGCUGUUUCCCCUCUCAGCAAACGGCUCAGGCAGGGCUGCUCAGCCCCGCCUCUCUCUCUCCCCCGGAGGCCAGCCCAUCCUGACUGUGCCACCUUUAAAGUAUUGCCUGAAUCUGACUGCUUCUCCUCGAACCAUCCUUAGCUCUUUCCUGAGCUACCGCAGCCCCCUUCCAACUGCUCUCCCUUCCCCUGUGCAUUCAUCUUCAAGCUGCAGAGUGAGUGAUCCUUCUAAACUCAGAUCACAUCUAAAUAAACCAGACCGCAUCUCUCCCCUGUUCAAAACCCUCCCGUGAUGUCUCACCACACCUGGAAUAAAAAUCCGAACUCCCUCUGCUGCCCCAGGCAGCCUGCAUCAUCCGGACCUGCUCCCUUCUGGGCUUUGUCCCCUGCGACCCUCCCCUUGCUCCAGUCACGCUGGCCUGGCCAGUCCCGCUGGCCUGGCCAGUCCCGUGGCCGCACCCCACCUGCUCCUGCGUUGGGCCUCUGUGUUUGCUGUCCCUCUGCUUGGAAAGCCCUUUCUCCGGGCCUUCCAUCGCUGGCUCCCACUGUCCAUCCAGGCUCUGCCUCCGGGUCGCCUCGGAGCUGGCGUUUUCCUUGAUUACCCUGUAGGAAAUGGCUCCCCACCAAUAUGGUCAGUCUAUGUACUCUCCCUAAAACUGCAUUCUUUUUCUUUAUCAUAUAUAUACAUAUGAUAUAUGGUAUGUGGUAUGUGUAUAGACGAUAUUUAAUCUCUGUAUGUGUGUGUGUGUAUUGUCUGUCUCUCCAUUAGAAUACAAGGGCCUCAUCUGUCUUAUUCACUACUCUCUCCUAGUGUUUAGGAAGCACCUCAUAUAAUAGGAACUCGCUAAAUAGUUGGAUAAUUAAUGGCUUAAUGGGAUCUCCCUCCCUCCUUGUAAACACAAGACAUGAUUCAUGAAUCCUGCCUAGGAAAAGAAUGCAGAGAACGGGGUGGGUGGAGAAGACAGGUGUGAAGGGAAGGGGGAAAGGAGGUUCCGGGGCCCCUACUGCCAGCACGCUGCUCGGUGCUUUAUGUAUAUUAUUUUGCUUAAGCCUCACCACUAUCUUCUGAUGAGGUGUUAUCUCCAUUUUUUAGAUGGUGAAACUUGGGCUCAAAGAGGUAAAGUAAUUUCUUUGGGUGUCACAGCCAGCAACCAGCAGAUUAGGACUUGAAUCCGGGACACUAUUCUAAGCACUAGACUCAAUACAUUCUGCACCCAGAGCUUCACUGGAAGUUCUGCCCCCAGAAUGUCCCAUACGCCCGUCUCAGGGGGCAGGGAUCCUGCCGGCCCUGCCGGCUGGAUCCAGAGGUAAGGGCCGAGGAGCCUGGGCCGCUCCAUGAGGGAAGGCAGGGCAGGGGGCAGAGGGUGGGCAGGCAUGGGAGCAGGAGGCCUCUCUAAGCCCGGCUGUUGUAAAGAGCGUCCUGACGAGCCAGCAUGUCGUUCCUGCAGGGGACCCGAGGGACAGACGAAGCCAAAUUCUUCCAAAGCAGCAUGUUAUCUCUGGGCUCAUGGAAGGCUGCAGACAAGGAGAACCCACCAGGCCCCCAGCCUCCCCACGGCCUCCCUCCACUCUGCAUUGUUCCCAACCCAGCAUCUCAGUGUGGGCCCUGGAGCCUGGGGUGUAAAAUACUUUGCACUGUAGUUCAAAGAAAUCAGGAGCCGGGGCGGGCGGGGAGUCAGCAGACAAGCCUGCCUUUCCCGUAAGUCGGCUCCUUCCUUCUCUUACCCCUUCUCUCCCUCUGCCAUUCCCUCCUUCCCACCAACAGGGUUUUUUUAACCCCGUGAAAGAUAAAACAGGAAAAAAGAUUGGUGUGGCAGACAUUCGGGUUCAGAGACUGGAGGAUUUAGGGCAGGAGGCGGUCUCUGCGGUGGUGCCAGGUGCUUGCUUGCAGCGCCCCGCGACGCCGGCUCCUCACGGUCCCUCAGGCUGCUGCCAGCUCGCCAUGUGACAGGCGAAGGAACUGGCCCUCACGAAGCUGUGCUGGUGGCAUAGCACCGAUGCACCCGUGGCGCCAGGAGGAACUCAGUGAGGUCAUCGUCCUUCCUCGGGCGACUUAACUCAAGUUCACUGGCUCGGUGAGGGCAGAAACAGCUUCAGACUGGGACUAUCUGGGUCCAAACCCCCAUGGGCUUCCUCGCCACCACGCUGCCCCAGUGCCAACAGGCGCUUGGGGAGAACUGAUACUCUGAACCAGGCCCCUUCCUUCUUUCGUGCUGGUUAUACCAAAAGAGGUCUAACAAGAAAGCGCAGCCUGGGCUGGAAAGGGCCGUGUGUUGUGGUGCAGCAUAUGCCUGUUUAUCCAACUCGGCAGGCAUGUGAGUAUCAGCUGUCUCCCCCGCCCCGCUCCUAGCUGGGCUUUGUUGCUGUUACUGCUCUGCGUGUGUGCAUGUGCGUGCGCGGGCUUUCUGUCUCUACAGGGUCGAGUGCCCUUGCCCCCCUGCCUCCUGCACCUCUCCCAGGGCACUUCACCCGGACUUUGCACCCUAUGGGCGCAUCCGCAGUGCAUAUUGUCUGACACAGAUGCUCCAGUUUCUAGGGUAGAGAGGCUGAGGGGAGGUGCAAUAGGGCUUUGUCCCCGCCCUGGGUGUCUGCUCAGAUGUGCCCCUUCCUGCCUCAGCGUGGGGACCCUGAAAGUCCCCCACCUGCCGGACACUGGUAGCAGCCUCCGUUUGGUAAGUGGGACUCCUACCCCACCUAACCAUCUACACCCGCUCUCUCACCGCGGAGCCACUGCAUUCUUAAAGCCCCCCUUGGUCCUGCCCGUCAGCCCCGCCUCCCUCCAGUCACACACCCCAUCCAGCCAAGCUCUUAUCCCUGAUGUCCUGAUAAGGAGGCGAGGGGUGGGAGUGGGCACUGAUGCUUCACUGCUGGAAAGUCGUUCAGGGAAAAUUCUAUAUAUACAGAAGAAAACUCAGAAUAUAUGAGGAAGAGUAAUAAUUAAAACAAACUCCUGUCGAUCCCACCACCUGGUUUAAGAAGUGGCCAACGGUUUUUUUCAAACUCUGGAUAGAAGCAGCUUCCAAACUCCAGGGAGAGAUCUUAAACUUGCUGGGUACCUGCUUUGGCCUCCCAGGGUCAAAGGCCCCAUCACCUCUCCCACCCUCUCCCCCCUGGCCUCCAGGGCUAUUUUGGGUGUGCACUGGUCGGGUUAAUCCCUUAAAGCCAUGAGCCGUGCUGCCUGGGGUACUCCUGGGAGGGCCCAGGCCUCUGCAAAGGGCAGUCAGCGGGUUGUGCGGCCAGCCUCAGGCCUUGCAGGCA